UAUGCACAGCACUUUCUGAAGGCUGAUGCCCCAAUGCAGUUUGGGAGGUCAAUGUGGGUUGAACUGGAGCAGAUGUUCCACUGGGCUUUGAAUAACUUGUCUGCCAAUGCUUAAGUGUGGCACAUAAUUCAACUUCACACCACUCCUGACUAAUGGAAAAUAAGUUAUUCAAAAUCUAAUUGCAUAGAAAAUGUGUAUCAAAACCACAAAAGGCCUAUUAAACACAGUUCACAGGACAUUAACACAUUUGCAGGACAUUAACACAUUCAUUUCUAUAUUUUUUCAGUGGGGAUGCUGACUGCAUCUAAAUGUUGCAUCUUCCACGCAGAAGCAACUCAACCUAGAAGCAGGAAGAGAGCUUCCCAUCCACCCACAUCAGCAACACCCUCUCCUCCUAUUUCCAUCACAGCAACAGUCCCAGAUCUAGCCCUUACAAGCCCCAGGUCCACCGGGAGGAUUCAGAUGACCAUCAGGAGGAGCUGCAAGCAGGGCAGAAAGGUCUCAUAUGCCCUUGAAGUCAUCCGAGCAAACUGAUGUUGAAUUGUUUCUGGCCUAGAUCAUUGCAGAUGGACCACACCAGAUUGAGGCUCCGUUGGACCUGCUCCGGAGACUUGCCCUUGAUGAGCCAGUCGUUGAGAUACAGAAAGAUUUGGACACCUCAACUUCUCAGGUCCCUGACGAGGUUACCAGAGCGUUGGCCGGAAGGCUUCCUGGCUGAUUGUGGCCUGUGCAUGCCCAACGAGCAAAGGGUAGCCCUAGUGUCCUUCAAAACGUGCAGCUUGGCAUCCAUUUGAUCUGAGAACAGACCAACUCUGUCAAAGGGGAGGUCCUGGAUCGAGGCCUGCAUCUCCUGGGAGAGGCCUGCUGUCUGGAUCCAGGAACUAUGUUGCAUGACCACCACCGAUGUGACCACCCUUGCCGCCGAGUCCACCACAUUCCAUGCAGUCUGCAGGGAGCAUCUGGCCACCAUCAUAUCCUUCUCCACCAGAGUUGCAAACUCUUGGGCCAAACCCUGAGGGAGGGAUUCCUGGAACUUUUUGAGACCGUCCCAGAGAUUAAAAUUGUACCAGCCCUGCAGGGCCUGAUGGUUCACCACCCAAAAUUGCAGGUUGGAGGUGGAAUACAUUUUUCUCCAAAAUAAAUCAAGUUUCUUAGCCUCUUUGUGUUUGGGAGUUGAGGAGGUGGGGACCUGCUUGUCUUUUUCAUUGGCUGCAAAUACAACAGUGAGCCCGGGGGCAGGUGGGUAUAGAGGUAUUCAAAAUCUUUGGCCGGCACAAAGUACUUUUUCUCAGCCCGUUUUGAGGUGGGCGGGAUGAAGGAGUGGGUCUGCCACAAGGACUUAGCCAUCUUGAGGACUCCCGCAUGCACAAGCAGGGCAACCAGGGAACACGUAGAGGCUGAGAGGAUGUUGAAGAGGGUGUCCUCCUGCUCUGCCAUCUCCUGUACCUCAAGCCUAAAGUCCUCGGCCAUGCACCGGAGAAGGUCUUGAUGUUCACUGUCAUCUGGUGGGCUAGCUCUGGAAGGUCCCGUGACCGCCUCGUCUGGGGAUGACGAGGAAGACUGGACUUCCGGUGGAGGUGCUGGGGUCUUGACCACUGUUGCAGAAAGAGGCUUUGGGGUGGGAACAGGUUCCUUCACCCUGACCUCAGAACGGGCUUUCGGUACCAGGUCCAAUGCCGGUGGAGCCACCAUCCGAUCUUCCAUUGCAGGCACUGAGGAGUGCUAGGAGUAAGCAUCAUCACAACCAGUACACCCCACGUGCUCCAAUAAGGCCACUGCGCUAGCCACUGGCCAUGCUGCCAUUGCGGUGCCACCAUUGAGGGGCACCAGUGCCCAGUGAUGCCCAUGAGACCAUGGCGACGGGCUUUACUGGCCCUCCACACAGGAGGAACCCCCUUCCGGUAACUGGGAAGGAGCAGUCGAAUCCUGUGUUUGUUUGCUGGUCAUGGAUACUGGUGACCGUUGCCUGGGCAUAACUCAAUGGUAACUGGAGUGUGGAGAGUGCUACAAGUGCUGGAAGGACUGGUACUGGGACAGGGAAUGUUCCCACCAUGCUAGUGAUCAGGACCGAAGCCUAGAGGAUGACUGUUGAGACAGCGAGUGAUGAUGGGAAUAGAAAGGGGAGCGUCGACCCCACACCAGAGAGUAGCACCAUGGGUGACCAACGACACAAUUGGGAUCUGCCCCUGGAUUCCCAAUGUGGCAGUGAUGAUCAGUGUCUUCUAUCUGGUGACCAGUGUUGUUCCCCUGUCUCCUGAGGAGUCUUAACAGUGGGCUUGCCCUCUUUGGGAGCGUUAGCCAGGUCCUGCAGCACCGGGGUAGUAUUCAGAGCAGGUGGAGACCUGUACUCUCUCUGCACUGGGGGAGCGUGGGAUGACGAAGGUGCAGACAGGAGUGUGGGUCCCAUACCACUCCCAGGAGUCAGUGGCGGACCCUUAAUGGGUCUGGGCGCCCCAGCUGGGGAGGUACGAUUGCGUAGCUCUGGAAAAGACUGGCGGGCAGGUCCUAGUCCCUUGGUAGAUGACACCUGGGCCUUCUUGCUGAUUGCCCAGGAGCACUUCUUGGCCUUUUUCUUCGGCACUAGCAAAGGUGAACAGUGCCAGUAGGAGUCGGGUCCUGGCGGUGCGCUGUGCAUGGAGGCCGAGGCAGUUGGUGUGACCUGUCUGGGUGGCUUGGAAGCCAGGCGGAGGGAAGACUCCAUCAGGAGAGCCCUGAGGCAGAUGUCUUGCUCUUUCUGGGUGCAGGGACAAAAGUUUUUGAAGACCCGCCACUGCCCCUUAAUGUGUGACCACCAUGGGUAGUAAGAAUGAACUGAGAGGGCGUAGGGCCGGCGGCACCUGAUAUAUCCAACAUGAACGCAGCACUUCAGAUAG